GUCCCCGUAGCGUAGUGGUUAGCGUUUGUGUGCUUUAUAUUCUAGCGUUUGUAUAUUUACUUAGCGAAUUUGUAUAAGGUAGCGAAAAACGUCGGUUUGAAUCCGACCGGGGACA